rnacentral:tRNA from 1 species
UGGGUCGUAGCUCAGAUGGUAGAGCGCUCGCUUCGCAUGCGAGAGGUACCGGGAUCGAUACCCGGCACCUCCA